rnacentral:misc_RNA from 1 species
GAUUAAGAACGUAGCGAAAUGCGAUAAGUAAUGUGAAUUGCAGAAUUCAGUGAAUCAUCGAAUCUUUGAACGCACAUUGCGCCCCUUGGUAUUCCGAGGGGCAUGCCUGUUCGAGCGUCAUUAUAACCCCUCAAGCUCAGCUUGGUGUUGGGGCCUGCUGCACUGGCAGCCCUUAAAAUCAGUGGCGGCGCCAUCUGGCUCUAAGCGUAGUAAUUCUUCUCGCUAUGGAGUCCUGGUGGAUGCUUGCCAUCAACCCCCAAUUUUUCUAUGGUUGACCUCGGAUCAGGUAGGGAUACCCGCUGAACUUAAGCAUAUCAAUAAGCGGAGGA